rnacentral:rRNA from 1 species
CACACGACUCUCGGCAAUGGAUAUCUCGCCUCUCGCAUCGAUGAAGAACGUAGCGAAAUGCGAUACCUGGUGUGAAUUGCAGAAUCCCGCGAACCAUCGAGUCUUUGAACGCAAGUUGCGCCCGAGGCCACUCGGCCGAGGGCACGCCUGCCUGGGCGUCACGC